GGUUCCAUAGGGUAGUGGUUAGCAUGUCUGCUUUACACACAGAAGGUCCUGGGUUCGUGCUCCAGUGGAGCCA
rnacentral:tRNA from 1 species